AUAGCUCUUAAGGAUCAGGCGGCAAAGGCGUGCAGCCGGGCACUAUGCAGCAGGGAAGACCUGUGAGACCUUA
rnacentral:ncRNA from 12 species